GCUGUUGAAGCGGCCUCCCUUCUUCCUCCUCCCCUUCGGGCGGGCGCAAGGGAAGCAGCGCAGGAGGAGGAGGAGGAGAGGGAGGAGGAGGAGGAGGGCGCCGCCUGGCUCCUCAGCCGGGGAUGGGGAACGCGGAGAGCGGCGGGGAUCCCGGCGGGGGCCCGGGGAUGCUGCCGCCCCCACUGCCCCCGGGGAAGGUGCCCAUGCCGGACCAGGGAGAGCUGGAGGAGCGCUUCGCCAUGGUCCUGAGCUCCAUGAACCUCCCUCCUGACAAGGCCCGUCUCCUGCGGCAAUAUGACAAUGAAAAGAAAUGGGACCUCAUUUGUGAUCAGGAAAGAUUCCAGGUGAAGAACCCACCCCACACAUACAUCCAGAAACUGAAGAGCUUUCUUGACCCUGGAGUCACCCGGAAAAAGUUCCGCCGAAGAGUCCAGGAAUCCACCAAAGUACUGAGGGAGCUGGAGAUCUCUCUGAGGACCAACCACAUUGGAUGGGUGCGUGAGUUUCUCAAUGACGAAAACAAAGGCUUGGAUGUGCUAGUGGAUUAUCUCUCCUUUGCUCAAUGUGCAGUAAUGUUUGAUUUUGAGGGUCUGGAAAGUGGCGAGGAUGGACCACUAGAGAAGCUGAAAUCCUGGAGCAGAUCCAUAGAGGAUCUGCAGCACCCCAGUACCCUGUCUGCUCCUUACGCCAACAGCCUUGCUCGCUCAGCACGUCAGUCUGCCCUCCGAUACACCACCCUUCCCAGCAGGAAAGCCCUGAAGAACUCGCGGCUGGUGAGUCAGAAGGAUGACGUCCACGUUUGCAUCCUUUGCUUACGGGCCAUCAUGAAUUAUCAGUAUGGAUUCAAUCUGGUCAUGUCGCAUCCUCAUGCUGUUAAUGAAAUUGCUCUCAGCUUGAAUAACAAGAACCCCAGGACAAAAGCCUUGGUGUUAGAACUGCUGGCAGCUGUCUGUUUGGUGCGGGGGGGCCAUGAGAUUAUUUUGGCUGCCUUUGAGACCUUCAAGAAGGUAUGCAAAGAACAACACCGCUUCGAGAAACUAAUGGAGUAUUUCCGCAAUGAAGAUAGCAAUAUUGACUUUAUGGUAGCUUGUAUGCAGUUCAUCAACAUUGUGGUGCACUCGGUUGAGGACAUGAACUUCCGAGUGCACCUGCAGUAUGAGUUCACCAAGCUUGGUCUGGAAGAGUUCUUACAGAAGUCAAGACACACAGAAAGUGAAAAGCUACAAGUGCAAAUCCAGGCUUACUUGGACAACGUCUUUGAUGUUGGCGGGCUACUGGAGGAUGCUGAGACAAAGAAUGUGGCACUGGAGAAAGUAGAGGAGUUGGAAGAGCACUUAUCCCAUUUGACAGAAAAGCUACUGGAUCUGGAGAAUGAGAACAUUAUGCGGGUGGCAGAGCUGGAGAAACAGCUAUUACAACGGGAGAAGGAAUUGGAAAUUGUCAAGGAAACCUAUGAAAGUGCCAGCAACCAGGUGCACACACUGCGCAGGAUCAUCAAAGAGAAAGAGGAGGCUUUCCGGCGUCACUACUCCUCGCAUUCGGCAGGAGGUGACCACUUGCCCUUGCCGCCCCCUCCCGAAGUGGAGAUCAACUUCAGCGAUAUCCCCGAGGAUGACCUCCGUCUCCCGGCCCUGCCUCCCAUGGAGGCUGCCCCUCCACCCCCGCCGCCACCUCCUCCGCUUCCCCCGCCGCCACCUCCGCUCCCAGAUAAGUGUCCGCCAGCCCCACCGCUCCCUGGUACAUCUCCAGCCAUGAUCCUAACUAUGGGAUUAUCAGCAAUCCGGAUUAAGAAGCCCAUCAAGACCAAAUUCCGUUUGCCAGUCUUUAAUUGGACGGCACUGAAACCUAACCAGAUCAGUGGCACAGUCUUCAGUGAACUGGAUGAUGAGAAGAUCUUGGAGGACCUUGAUCUCGACAGAUUUGAGGAGCUCUUUAAGACCAAAGCCCAGGGCCCUGCCAUCGACCUCCUCUGCUCCAAGAACAAGGCAUCCCAUAAAGCUGCCAACAAGGUUACCCUGCUGGAGGCCAACCGAGCCAAGAACCUGGCCAUCACAUUGAGAAAGGCAGGCAGGACCUCCGAGGAGAUCUGCAAAGCCAUCCACACGUUUGACCUGAAGACACUACCGGUGGAUUUUGUGGAGUGCCUUAUGCGAUUCUUGCCGACGGAGAAUGAGGUAAAGCUGCUGCGUCAGUAUGAGAAAGAGCGGAAACCACUGGAAGAGCUCUCGGAUGAGGACCGCUUCAUGCUCCACUUCAGCAAAGUGGAGCGCCUGACACAGCGCAUGGCCAUUAUGGCUUUCCUGGGCAACUUCAGUGAAAACAUCCAAAUGCUCAUGCCGCAACUGAGCGCCAUCAUUGCCGCUUCAGCAUCUGUUAAAUCUUCUCCGAAGCUCAAACGUAUGCUGGAGAUCAUCUUGGCCCUUGGCAACUACAUGAACAGCAGCAAACGGGGUUCAGUAUAUGGUUUCAAGCUGCAAAGCCUUGAUCUGCUAUUGGACACUAAAUCAACAGACCGUAAGCUGACACUCCUACAUUUCAUUGCUAUGAUGGUGAAAGAAAAAUACCCAGAGCUGAGCACCUUCUGGCAGGAACUGCACUUUGUGGAGAAAGCAGCUGCAGUGUCCUUGGAGAAUGUGUUGCUGGAUGUCAAAGAACUGGGCCGUGGGAUGGAGUUGAUCCGACGGGAGUGCAGCUUGCAUGAACACAGCAUCCUGCGCAGUUUUCUAAGUGCCAAUGAGGGGAAGCUGGACCGACUGCAGAAGGACGCCAGGACUGCAGAGGAGGCCUACAACACAGUCGUACGCUACUUUGGUGAGAGCCCCAAGACUACACCACCAUCGGUUUUCUUCCCAGUCUUUGCACGCUUCAUCAAAUCCUACAAGGAUGCGGAGCUGGAGAACGAUCUGCGCAAGAAGCAGGAACAAGCCCAGAGGGAGCAGGCGCUGGCCCAAGAAGCCAAGAGGCUGGAGAAGUUGCCUUUGCAGCGCAACAAGUGGCAGCAGCAAGAAUUGAUUGCUGAAUUGAGACGGCGCCAGGCCAAGGACCACCGGCCUGUUUAUGAAGGCAAAGAUGGAACCAUUGAGGAUAUAAUCACUGUGUUGAAGAGCGUCCCCUUCACUGCCCGCACAGCGAAGCGGGGGUCUCGCUUUUUCUGCGAACCGUCCCAUCAUGACGAGCCCAACUGUUAGCCGGGCUCUCCCUCCCCGUCAAAGCAGCAAGAACCAUCUGCCUCUAGUUCUCUCUCAAUUCAUCUGCAGGAGAGGAGUCCUGUAUGCCCUGCUUUUCCAGCUGGCUAAUGCUGCAUCCAAGGCCCAGUCCAUGUUCUCUUUUGCCAAAGAAAAAACAGUCAUCCAUUCCAAGAAUUUUUUCCCGAAUGGAAAAACCAAAGGGACAAUUAGGAAGUGCCUUACUGCGACAGUAUUAUUUUUAUUCUCUUAUUAUUUAAGGUGUAUUUUUAAUCUGUACAUAUAUGACCAUUCCUAUCAACCCUUGUUCCUGCUAUCCCUUACUGAGUCAGCUCUGAAAGACGAGACUGUCCUUUGGCUUUUUGGAAGUGCCUUUGGCCAGCAGGAAGCUGACCUCUCCCUUCUGUGAGUGUCAGUCCUUUGCGUUGUCAGACCAGAAUUGCACUUUGACCUUUUCCAUAAUGUGUCUUUAAGUGGAUAGAGACAUGGUGAACUGUUUCAGUAGCAGCUGACAUCGGGAUUGGGUUCUAGUCUUGUGGACUAACUGCUGUUUUUCAAGAGACAUCUUCAGCAAUACUGUGGCCUCCUCAGAACAGGCCAUGUUCUAUCCCUGAAGAAUUUAAAAGUGAGGCUCUGAAAAACCACUGAAACCUUUCUUCAAAAACAAAAAAAAACAAGCCUUCAGACCAACUGCACAAUAUAAUUCUGAUAUUGGCAACUGCAGGAAAAUGACCAUGGGGGGUGAAUCCUAGAUAAUUGCUAGAGAGAUCACUUCUGGCAGUGCCCAAGAAAUGCAUGAACAUGUACACACUAUCAUUACUGUUACUAUUUUUCAAAGGACCAAAUUUUGCUUCCAACUCAUCUGGGUUUUUUUUUAAGCUACAACUCUCCUCAGUUACUGGACCAAAGAUGCUGCAAGACUCUCCAGACCAAAUCUAGGACAGCUGCCAAGUGUCUCAUUGAAGCCCUCUGCCACUCCCACCCUGAAAAAACACCAGUAGUUCUAUUUGGAUGCUAUCCUCAGGUAGGAUAUUCCAAUGUCAAAGACAUUUGACACUUGAGUUGGAAAACGUUGAUCUUAGACUAAGAAUUCUCCCCGUGAACCUAGAUGCUCCAAAGCAGGUCACAAAAACAGCAAGUGAGAUGUUUGCACAAUUAGAGCUGUGUUGAGUGCAUUCAUGGCCUACAGAGAAGAUGGACACAGGACAAGUGGAGUAACCAAAUGACAUCUCAUACCACUAGUUAGAAACCACUGGGCAGCAGCUUUUCCAAGUCCCUGCCUUGUUUGAAAUGAAUGGAAUGAAGUCCUUUCUGUUUCAUUGAGUCUUGCACUGUAAUAUUUCUCAGUAGAUCUUAUCUCGUAAUUCAGAUAUUCUCCACUCUUCCAUUUGGAAGGUUGCCCCAAAUCUGCUACCGUAUCUUACUAUAUGGGAAGACUACCUCUGCCUCCUUUACCAUUUACCACUGUUGCUCCACUGAUGUCUAAAGUUUGGCCUACAACUUUGGCCAUGAUGUUUCUUCAGACAAUCAGAACAAGAAAACUUGCUUUACCUUCUUUUAACUUGCUUGGAUUUUUCUUCUCUACCUGACCAAAGAUUUUUACUUGUGAUGUAUUAAAACUGCAGAAACCAUAAGGAUGAAGCCAUUGGACAAUGAAAGAAGGACUGCUUCUUCUUCAGUUGUUUUUAAUUCAGGGAAGUUACAAGUUCUGCUCCAAUCACCUUGGGAUUUUAAGCUACUUCUCUGGAACCAGGAAUCAAUCAGAUUGGCCUUCCGAAAGCUGGUGCCCUCCAGAUAUUUUGAGCUAUAACUCCCACCAGUCCCUAAAACACAGUCAUUAGUCAGGAAUGACUGGAGUCAUAAUUCAAUACCACAUGUCAGAUCAUGGGUUGACCUGGCAAAACACUCCCUAGGUAAAACUGGCAUUAAUAAGGUAUUGUGAUGUUAUCUUUAUUCUUACAUUAAAUUCUGAAUGCAGAACCAUAUUUUUUUGCAAAGCCAGUCAAGGUGAGGAAGACCUUUUUUAAACAGACUAUUGACUUUCCCUUCUGUGUGGUCACUAGGGACCAAGGGGUUUUGCUCCCUUUCAUACCAGAAUACUCCACUGUGACUUUGCUAUAAAAAAUUAAAAACCAUCAGAAGAGUAAUCAGGAUUGCCAAAGAACUGUGCCUUCUGAAUAUAAACAAUGCCAAAAGAUUACGUUGAUUGUAGUUGGAAACUGGAAGCCUUAUGAUUGAUACCAACUAAUCCCAGGAAAAUGUCUUUCUUUGGAUUAGGCCUCUCUGUUGAGCUGGGACUGGUGGAAUUGAAACUUCAUUAAAUACACCCUGGGGUGAAGGCCUAUGAUUCAGGGGAGCUCCGUGGCUCUGGCCGAACACAGCCUCUCUGUGAUGUAGAACAUUGUUUCAUCUCCUUCAGCCUGCCCUUUGGGUUAUUGGUUGGAAGGUCUAACAUCUUGGGAUUUGCUAUACAUUAUUAAUGAGGUUUAGAGUAUGAAAAGAUAGGCAUGACAAAGUCAGGAGAGAUCAACAGCUGCCUGCAUAGGAGAGAAAUAACUGUUAAAAUGAGGCAUUGCUACGGAUGGGAGCAUGUGCUUGUCCAGAUUUUGUUGGACUUCAGCAUCCAUGAUCCCUCACUGUGUGGCAAAGAUAGCUACCGAUAAAUGAGUCAAGUCAUCCAACGACAUCUUAAAGGUCACAAAUUCACACACGUGCUGUCAUAUAGCACAUGACAAUGGAUUUGACUGCAGGCCACCAUAUCUUUUAAAGUGCUGGGAGUGAGGGCAAAUGAUUCCACUUGGCAUCAGGAACCUAAGCAACAUGUACAGAGCCACACACUCGCUGUCCAGGUAGGUUAGGCAAGUUGGGAGAAACAACUAGGUACAAGCCAUUUUAAGCAGAUCUCAUGUCUUUUGCCAAAUGGUUAUCAUCUUGUAGAUGGACAGGGGCUUAGUUAAAUGUGUGCCUGAUUACCUCAAAAUUAGAACGAUGCCUUUCCAGGAACAUGGAAGUAAAAAAGGUUCUGCUCCCACUUGUAGGUGAAGACUUGGGUGACUUACUUGCUAUUUGAAAGCAGGGGAUGAGGUGCCACUAUGAAACAGUGCAUGUGUAUAAUUGGGAGAGACAGAUUAGUAUAUGGCAUCUAUUUGGCAGUAUGCUUAAAAUAGAGGGCAGAAAUGUGGGGAAUUACGAGAACUGGAAAGUAUGUGCAGCCUAGAAAGAGAAAGCAGGUGUGAGACAUAUUUUGUUGAAUACAAAUUUAAUUAUAGUUACAGGAUGCUAUUAAUAUCCUUGAGUUCUCAGCCAUAAAUAUUUUAAGUCCAGUUGAUUUCAUUGUGCUGCUUCUGAAUUACUAAACUAGGAAUCUAGCCUUGCAUUUGGAACCCAAUUAAGUUGAAUUUCACAUAUUUCUUAGUAAAGUAUUAAGGAAGCCUGGGAUAGGAAUGAUGCACCGAAGGCCAUACCAGACAACCUAGGGGGGGCUGUUGCAGAAGAUUCUUGGUAGUCAGACCCAAGGAGUCAUUUGUGGAAUUGUGUUGUCGAAGGCUUGUGGAAUUGUGAGUCAACACUUAAAUUGCAUUGAUUAAAUGGUCCUAUUCAAGUGGGUGCUAACAAUGGGAUUUGCUCCCAGUUUAUCUUACAGAUUUCAUUGGGCAUAUGUUAUCACCAAAUAACAUGGGAGAACCUAUGGGAGAUGCAACCUUUUGGCCUCUGGACCUCAUCCGAAGGAUUGUCUUGGGGCACACAUAACACUAACAAUAACUGAUGAGCAAAAAAAAAAAUCCAUACAAUUUUUUUGUGAUAUCUGCUACUACAGAUAAGCAAAAAUAAGCCCUCAAAUAAUAAUCCUAAUUAUACACCACCCCAAUUGGAGGGUCUCUUAAAAUCUUCAAUUAGGUUUUCUGGUUGAACUGUUAGCAUUUGUAAUGUGAAUUAUGGAUAAUAUUCCAAUAUCUGUAGACAUAACAUACUCUGAUUAUUCCAUUCCAUUGUUCCAAGUUUGCGCUCAAGAACCACACAAUCAGUUACCCCCCAAAAAAAGCCUUAUAAAGUUUUAACUAAGUUUACAAUUUUGUGCUGGGUUGCAUUUAUAGACAUCUUGGGCCACAUGUAGCCCAUGAUUAUAAUCUAAAAUAAAACAUUUUGUUGGCCUCUUUUUCUGCAUUCAGCUGUUACACUGAGAUACCAUUGGGCUAAGUUCUCAUUUAGUCCUGACUAGGGUAGAUAUAUUUAUUUAUAUUUUGAACCAAAAUAGAUUUAUUACAAUCAACAACAACAAUAUUGUAAAUUCUGUCACAGUACUAAAACGUACCCAUCUGAAAGAAUAAAGAAAAAAGUAGAACUUCAGGUGUGAACUCAAAACAUGUCUACAAAAUGUAAGAAACAUGUCUAAAACAUGUUUCCUACAACCAACAACAACUUCGUAACAAGCUCGGGAAGCUGCCCUGGGUUUCAUAAACCUGCCCACUGAAUGGGCUUCUUCCCAGAACUCUGCAGAAUCUCAUUGGCCAUAGUGAAGUGCCAGUAGCAUAUAAAUGUAGCCAUGAGCUCCAUGAAGCAUGGCUUCACAAACUGGCCAAGGCCAGAUUCCACCAACACUUGGUUAGGGAUGCGGUCAACGAAGCGCAUCAACAGCCUCAUCUGAGCAGCCAUCCUGUUUCUCCUCAUGCGGGCCUGUUGUUUCAGGGUGAGCUCAGUGGUUGGUGCUGCAGCCACCAUGGCUCUUGCACGCUGCCCACUGAAUGGACUACUUCCCAGAACUGUACAGAAUCUCAUUGGCCACAGCAAAGUGCCCGUAGCACAUAAAGGUAGCGUUUCUUGAGGUGACGGGAAUCUCCAGGACCUAGUGCCCCACCCUGUCUAUGCGUCUGCCCUUUUCGCGGGCCCUGGGACCCAAGAAAGAAGAUGAGGUUUUCAACACUCUCUUUUGAGGCAUGAUAUAUCGGUAUCUGUGAAUUGCUCCCAUCCUUUCCCUGGUUUGGAGCAGAGCUCAUACUUCCAUACUGUGAGGACCUCAUUUAGUAGAAGAACCCUUUUUUCGGCCCAUUUCAUGAAGUCUCCGUUGAAGUCCCUUGGAAACCCUGGAAAGCUUAUUUCCAAUUCUGUGAACAUACACAAGCUGGACAGUAUGCCUUUCUGGAAGCUGAAGGCUAGGCCAUGGUCGAAAACGGAAGAUGAGGUCUCCUCACCCAAGAUGACCACUUUGAUUUCAUUGGGCCCAGCUGAACAUCUCCGCCAAUAGUAUCACUAUGUUGUGCAUCCGCUCACGCACAACAAAUACCAUGAGCACAGUGAAGUAUGGCUUUGCAAACUGGCCAAGGCCAGACGCCACCAGCAUCUGGUUUGGGAUGCGGUCAGCGAAGCGCAUCAACAGCCUCAUCUGAGCAGCCGUCCUGUUUCUCCUCAUGCGGGCCUGUUGUUUCAGGGUGAGUGUGGUGGUUGGUGCUGCAGCCACCACAGCCCUUGCACGGGGCUCCGCCUCGACACUUCCCUGGGAUUCCACUGAUUGGCUCCCCGAGGAACCUUGCUCCUCGAAGCUCGAUACUGACAUGGUGAUGUCACUGGGGAAUGUGCUCUCUACAUGCCUUGCCUCCACUGUGUCUACUGAACAAUCUCGAAGGCACCUAUUUAUUUGUAUGAUUUAUUAAACAACUUAUUGAAUGGGUUGUUAGGAUUGUGGGAGUUGGGAGUCCACCUGGAGGGCCGAAGUUUGCCCAUGCCUGAUCAAGUGACACUGGUCAAGUGUCUUGGCUUCUUGCUUUGCACACCCAAGGCACAAAAGACAUUAAGAAAUGUUUUCUUAAUCUAGGGUUGAAAUGUAAGCUCUACAUCUAAGAGACAAUAUUAACUGAAUGAUGAACAGUAAUUUAAUGCUAAUUAUAAAGACUGUGGAAGCUGAGCUUCAUUAGCGUCAUUGGCUUCUGAAGCAAACACUAUUCCGUUUCUGCAGUAAGCAAAAGGGACCAACCAUCCUCUCCCCAAAGGACCUUAGCCGCAGAGGAUGGGCAAGGCUCCAUCCAAGCAGGCAGGACUUUCCUGGUGUUGCCUCUGGGCAGUUUACAAUGUAUCCAUUCCAGUGUAAUCCCCUUUUUUGUCUCUGUGUGUAGUUAGAUGUAACUUUUUUGUAUGUGAAGUAUUAUGGAGUAUAUUGCAAGCCAGUGCCUCCUUUCCCCACCCAACCUUCCUUGAACUGUACAGAAUUUCUACUAAUGGGAGAAAAAGGGUGGGUGGAAUAAAACAAAAAUGAGGAUCUAACAUAACGUUUUGCUUGUUUGAAAAGAAAGAAUUGCCUAAUAAUCCAGUGGUUCUCAACCUGUGGGCUGCAGCCCACUGCUGUGCCGCAAGACCUAAAAUAAGGCCCGUGAGACAUGCAGAUAAAAUCGGCUCUAGAUUAUUAAAUAUGGUUGCAGAUGAUGACUAAUGGCACAUCUUAUGUAUUAGAAACUAGAGCUGAUGUGGUCUAUCCAAUUCCAUUUUCUGAAUCGGCACCCCAAAUAAUCAAACCAAAUCUAAAGUUGACCAAAAACUGAUUCAUAGCCCUUUUGGUAUUAAUGUUGGAGAGUGAUCCCCAGUCAAAGUGGUUCCUGGUCAAAAAAAGGUUGGGAACCACUGCUCUAACCCAAGUCAUGCAGAAGUGAAGGGAGGUUUUGCGAACACACAUUCAAAGGAGCCCAUGGUUGCAGUGUAGUGUGACUUGCAGCAGCAAUGAAAAACAUCCCUCCUCAUAGUUAAUUUACACUAGUUUGGGAGAAUGCAUAUCUGCCCAGUCUACACGCAUGGAACACUCUUCCUCUUGUAUCCACUUGUCUUGUAUUUUUUAAAAAGAGAACUGCCAGGACCGCCCAGGUUUUUCAAAGUCUGGCAAGAAUUGUAUUUUAAACCCCUGGCCACAAGACCUAUAUUUUGGUCUAUUUUACUGCAGUUUUAUUUCCCAUGAAAUAAAAUGAUGUGAUGCUG